GAUCUCCUGUGAUGUCUCGCACUGGGCUCAGAACACAUGUGGUGAUAACAGUGCUGCUCCGCUCUGACAAGGCAGAGUCUGAGGAGAGU